rnacentral:lncRNA from 1 species
GCUUUGUCUGUCAUCACUAUUAGCAUCAGACCUAUUAAACCAAAAACCAAUUAUUUAAGUUCGUAUUUCAAUGCUUGACAUUGACGUUUCAUGUUAUAAGCGUUUUACUCGAACUGAAACUUAAAAACAAAGUCGUUUUUCAAAACCCGAUCCCAAAGAUUCACAAUUCGAGAAAUUGUACCGGUCACUGUAAGGUAUAUUUCUUGUUUUUUUGAAAGAUCAAAUAUAAUUGCUUUCCUAAAUUGAGCUACAUUUUCGCUGUAUUCUGGAUUAGCAUGCCACAUUGGUGGAUCACCAAUCCAAAGAUUUGAAAAGUUCCACACACUUUUUUCACUAUUGAAUUCAAUAACAUCUGUGAAUGAAUUGAUCCCAGCAAUCCUCUGUCUUUGAACUACUUUCUUGGUUAUGUCAUUCAAAAUUGAAACAAAUU